rnacentral:rRNA from 1 species
CCUACGGGAGGCAGCAGUGGGGAAUUUUGGACAAUGGACGCAAGUCUGAUCCAGCCAUGCCGCGUGUGGGAAGAAGGCCUUCGGGUUGUAAACCACUUUUGUCAGGGAAGAAACGGCUCGGGUUAAUACCUUGGGCUAAUGACGGUACCUGAAGAAUAAGCACCGGCUAACUACGUGCCAGCAGCCGCGGUAAUACGUAGGGUGCAAGCGUUAAUCGGAAUUACUGGGCGUAAAGCGUGCGCAGGCGGUUAUGCAAGACAGAUGUGAAAUCCCCGGGCUCAACCUGGGAACUGCAUUUGUGACUGCAUGGCUAGAGUACGGUAGAGGGGGAUGGAAUUCCGCGUGUAGCAGUGAAAUGCGUAGAUAUGCGGAGGAACACCGAUGGCGAAGGCAAUCCCCUGGACCUGUACUGACGCUCAUGCACGAAAGCGUGGGGAGCAAACAGGAUUAGAUACCCUGGUAGUCCACGCCCUAAACGAUGUCAACUGGUUGUUGGGAGGGUUUCUUCUCAGUAACGUAGCUAACGCGUGAAGUUGACCGCCGUGGGGAGUACGGCCGCAAGGGUUGAAACGUUAAAGGAAUUGACGG